rnacentral:lncRNA from 1 species
GGUACAUUAAACACGUGGGAGUUCCCGCUGUGGUUCAGCACAUCACGAACCUAGUAUCCAUGAGGAUGUGGGUUUGAUUCCUGGCCUUGCUCAGUGUUAAGGAUCCAGCAUUGCUGUGCCUAUGGCAUAGGCUGGCAGCUUCAGCUCCCAUUCAACCCCUAGCCCGGGAACUUCCAUAUGCAGCCCUAAAAAAGCAAAAAAAAAAAAAAAAAAAUUAAAAAAAAUUAAAAAAAAAAACAAACAAAAAAACCCCCACAAAAAAUCCAACAGAGUACAUCAAGCACAGUUGCUAGGAAGCCUAGAUAAGGGACAUUCAAAUCUGACUUCUUGAUGGGGGAAGGCUUCCCCGAAGAAGGGCUUGUUGAGCAGGACACUGAAGGCUAGUGAUGUGGGAACUAGAAGUGAGUGGGGACAGACACCCAAAGAAACAGUGGAUGUCAAGCACGGAGAUGUCAAAACAACCUGACACCCUGGGAUGAGAGCUGGCCAACUGCUACAGAGGCAGGGUGAGCAAGAAGUUCAAGCACAGAGAGAUGCAUCUCAUUUCAGGUUAGAAAAGACAUUCAAGUACCCAUUCUUCUGUACCAUUACUGAAUUCUAGAAAAGACACUUCACUUAUCCCACACUUGAAUCUGGUACACGUAUGGGUUCAAAUCCUGGCUCUGCUGCUUGCCAACUACAUGACCCUGUCGGUUCUCCACAUAGUAACCAGGUUGAUCAGACUGAUUUGAACAGGAGGUGGAAACAAGGCUCUUUUUAUAUUGCAGUUUCCAAGAUUGUGGGCAGAAGGUAUUUUUACAUUUCUAAAUGAAGUACUG